ncrna:Schistosoma mansoni type-P1 twister ribozyme
UGUAUAACUCCGCCUGUAGCCCCUCCAGGGGCUACUGCCGGUCCCAAGCCCGGAUAAAGGAGGAGGAUUGG